AACGAACGCUGGCGGCAUGCCUAACACAUGCAAGUCGAACGAGAUCUUCGGGUCUAGUGGCGCACGGGUGCGUAACGCGUGGGAAUCUGCCCUUUGGUUCGGAAUAACAGUUGGAAACGACUGCUAAUACCGGAUGAUGACGAAAGUCCAAAGAUUUAUCGCCAGAGGAUGAGCCCGCGUAGGAUUAGCUAGUUGGUGUGGUAGAGGCUCACCAAGGCGACGAUCCUUAGCUGGUCGGAGAGGAUGAUCAGCCACACUGGGACUGAGACACGGCCCAGACUACGACGGGAGGCAGCAGUGGGGAAUAAUGGACAAUGGGCGAAGGCCUGAUCCAGCAGUGCCGCGUGAGUGAUGAAGGCCUUAGGGUUGUAAAGCUCUUUUACCCGGGAUGAUAGUGACAGUACCGGGAGAAUAAGCUCCGGCUAACUCCGUGCCAGCGGCCGCAGUAA
rnacentral:rRNA from 1 species